rnacentral:rRNA from 1 species
GACGAACGCUGGCGGCGUGCUUAACACAUGCAAGUCGAACGGGCCUUGUCCCCUUUUUUUUUGGGGGUGGGGUUAGUGGCGAACGGGUGAGUAACACGUGAGUAACCUGCCCCUCACUUCUGGAUAACCGCUUGAAAGGGUGGCUAAUACGGGGUGUUCUGGCCUGCUCGCAUGGGUGGGUUUGGAAAGAUUCGACCGGUUUGGUUGUUUUGGUGGGGGAUGGGCUCGCGGCCUAUCAGCUUGUUGGUGGGGGGAUGGCCUGCCAAGGCUUUGACGGGUAGCCGGCCUGAGAGGGUGGGCGGUCACACUGGGACUGAGACACGGCCCAGACUCCUACGGGAGGCAGCAGUGGGGAAUAUUGCACAAUGGGCGCAGGCCUGAUGCAGCGACGCCGCGUGAGGGAUGGAGGCCUUCGGGUUGUGAACCUCUUUCGCCAGUGAAGAAGGUCCUGCUCUUUGUGGUGGGGUUGACGGUAGCUGGGUUAAUGAAGCGCCGGCUAACUACGUG